UAAGACAGCAGGACGGUGGUCAU
rnacentral:ncRNA from 2 species